rnacentral:rRNA from 1 species
AGAGUUUGAUCCUGGCUCAGAACGAACGCUGGCGGCGUGCUUAACACAUGCAAGUCGAACGAUAAAGCGACUUCGGUCGUGAUUAAAGUGGCAAACGGGUGAGUAACACGUGGGCAAUCUGCCCUUAAGUUGGGGAUACCCUUGGGAAACCAGGGCUAAUACCGAAUGUGGCCAAUUUUUCGCAUGAUUAAUUGUCUAAAGGUGGCUUCGGCUAUCGCUUAAGGAGGAGCCCGCGUCCCAUUAGCUUGUUGGUAGGGUAAUGGCCUACCAAGGCAACGAUGGGUAGCCGGCCUGAGAGGGUGAUCGGCCACACUGGAACUGAGAUACGGUCCAGACUCCUACGGGAGGCAGCAGUGGGGAAUAUUCCGCAAUGGGCGCAAGCCUGACGGAGCAACGCCGCGUGUGUGAUGAAGGUUUUUGGAUUGUAAAGCACUGUUGUUAGGGAAGAACGACCUUAGCUCUAAUAUAGCUAAGGAGUGACGGUACCUAACCAGAAAGCCCCGGCUAACUCCGUGCCAGCAGCCGCGGUAAUACGGGGGGGGCAAGCGUUGUUCGGAUUUACUGGGCGUAAAGGGCGUGUAGGCGGUUUUGCAAGUCAGACGUGAAAGCCCCAGGCUCAACCUGGGAAUUGCGUUUGAAACUGCAUGACUUGAGUACAGGAGAGGAAAGUGGAAUUCCAAGUGUAGCGGUGAAAUGCGUAGAUAUUUGGAAGAACACCAGUGGCGAAGGCGACUUUCUGGCCUGACACUGACGCUGAGGCGCGAAAGCUAGGGGAGCAAACAGGAUUAGAGACCCUGGUAGUCCUAGCCGUAAACGAUGAUUACUAGGUGUAGAGGGUAUCGACCCCCUCUGUGCCGUAGCUAACGCAUUAAGUAAUCCGCCUGGGGAGUACGAUCGCAAGGUUGAAACUCAAAGGAAUUGACGGGGGCCCGCACAAGCGGUGGAGCAUGUGGUUUAAUUCGAUGCAACGCGAAGAACCUUACCGAGGCUUGACAUAUAUUUGACCGUCUGUGAAAGCAGAUUUUCCUUCGGGACAGAUAUACAGGUGGUGCAUGGCUGUCGUCAGCUCGUGUCGUGAGAUGUUGGGUUAAGUCCCGUAACGAGCGCAACCCCUAUCCUUAGUUGCCAGCAAGUGAUGUUGGGCACUCUAAGGAGACCGCCGGUGAAAAAUCGGGGGAAGGUGGGGAUGACGUCAAGUCCUCAUGCCCCUUAUGCCUCGGGCUACACACGUGCUACAAUGGUCGGUACAGAGGGUCGCAAAACCGCGAGGUUGAGCUAAUCCCAAAAAGCCGAUCUCAGUUUGGAUUGCAGGCUGAAACUCGCCUGCAUGAAGUUGGAAUCGCUAGUAAUCGCGGAUCAGCAUGCCGCGGUGAAUACGUUCCCGGGCUUUGUACACACCGCCCGUCACACCACCUGAAUUGGGUGCACCCGAAGUCGCUGUCCUAACCGUUCGCGGAGGGAGGUGCCUAAGGUGUGCUUGGUAAGGGGGGUGAAGUCGUAACAAGGUAGCCGUAUCGGAAGGUGCGGCUGGAUCACCUCCUU